UGCCCACAAAGGGGAGGAGCAGGCGGAUGAACAGCCAGAGCUGCAAUGGUGGAUCCUCCCCCAGGGCUGCAUGGGACGACAGAUAGAUGAGGCUCUAGGAGGACAGGCACAAAUGCUACCCGAAUGCAAACCACUCCCGAGAUCUGUAAAAGGACUGGCCCCGGACAGGAAGCACACUUUAAACUAGAGGCGGGUAAGAAUCCUGGGCCAAUCAAGGCUUCUGGGCGGAACUGCCAUUCAGACAAUGAGGCGUGGUCUUCCAGUUGCCUGCUGGAAGUUUGUUUUUGCGCUGCAGGAUGGAACUAUUCUCUGUAUCCUGCUUUGAGCACUGCUAUUGGGUGCUGUGAGGGGACCUCAAGUAAGCUCCAUUUUUGAAACAUGAGUCAGAGCCCCGGUGAAGAUUCUGUGAGAGUUCAUUGUAUUGAAUUUAUGAUGAUGAAGAUUGAGUUGCAUUUUGCGGAAAAGAGAUGUUGAGAUACCUAAGGCAUUGAGAAAUCUGUCAUGCAGACAUGCACACAGGGAGAGGGAGUACCCAAAAUGAUGAGAAGUUACAGGAAUUGGACCAUCUAAGCCCUUAGAAAGUGAAGUCCACUGUGUCUCAAACAAAGGUUAUUAGCUUAUGUGCUUGGAAUGUAAGUUUUGUACAUGCAAGCGUAUGCUGUUGUGCAGAUCUUCAUCCA